CACCUAAAAUGAUGAGAGUUUCUCCAUGCUGCGGGAAAGGGACAUGCUGGGUCAGGAAUCAUUAAGACCAGCAGGAGAACUGAAUUCAGCGACAGAGAUUGGAAAGAAAAGAAGAAUCACAAGUGGGAUCUCUUUCAUCUCAUCAGUGAAAAGCAUUUGAAGUCUACUGAUGUUUCUCCUGAGAAAAAGACCCCAGUAAUCUCUCCUGUAGAGUUUCAAAAGAGAUCUUAACAUCCCAGACUCGAUCAGAUUUGCCUGCUGCAGUCAAAGCUUGCCCACAGACAGAGCAAACUUCACUAACCCGUGUUUGCAGCACCUGGCACAGCCGGACAUCCUCACAAUGUCCAAA